GUGGUUUGGACUAGUGUCUAGCUUAGUAUAGUUUGGUUUUUUUCUUACCUUUUGCAUCAUGACUUGCUGAGGUUUACAUGGUAUGCAUGUGUCCCGAAAGUUACACGAUUUUUGCGGGGCUAGCGCGGAGCUAACUUUAUAGCAAGUUGUUAUGUGUAAAGCUCCGUAAGGGUGCGAUAAGUAAUUUCGUGUGUGCUAAUAGCUGGUUUCUGGGGAGGUCUUUCGUAGUAGGUUUCUUGCUAGGAUGUGAGUUGCUUGAAAAGAGAUUUUUUAUUGUUUAAGCUUGUUGGGUUAGAGUUACCCUAGUUUAAUUGUCUGUUACAAGGUGUGUUUUGGAUGAUACAGUGUCUUUUGUGUGUUCCCCAGGUGUUAAUCUAUAAUAUGAUUAUGGCAGGAUAAGUAGAAUUUAAAUUGAUUCCUUUUGUUCUCGUUCGUUGUCCAACUGUUUAUUAAAAACAUUUCCACCGCGUAGAUUUGGUGGUAUUGCCUGCCCAGUGCUUUUGUAAACGGCCGCAGUAUCUUGACUGUGCUAAGGUAGCGUAAUUAAUUGUCUCUUAAUUAGGGAAUUGUUUGAAAGGUUAACUGUGAUAGCGUGUUAAGAUAGGAGUUUUUAUUGAAAUUUGUUUUCGGGUGCAGAACCCUGAUUUAUUUAAUAAGACGGAAAGACCCCGAGAGCUUUAUACUGAUGUAUUUAUUUGGGGCAAAGGCAUGAUUUUAUUUGUUUUUUGAACCCACGGGUUGAAGGUGUUAGUUACCUCGGGGAUAACUGGGUAAGAAGUGAGGAGAGGUCAUAUCGAUUCAUUUAUUUGCCACCUCGAUGUUGACUUGGGGUAAUUUGUUGGCGCAGUAGUUUUCAAAUUUGGUCUGUUCGACCGUAGUUCCCCUCAUGAGUUGAGUUAAGACCGGCGUGAGCCAGGUCGGUUCUUAUCUAUUAUGGGUGCAGGUUAGUACGAAAGGAUUGCUUGUGGUUUUAGU
rnacentral:rRNA from 1 species